UCACCCUACGGGAGGCAGCAGUGGGGAAUAUUGCACAAUGGGGGAAACCCUGAUGCAGCGACGCCGCGUGAAGGAAGAAGUAUUUCGGUAUGUAAACUUCUAUCAGCAGGGAAGAAAAUGACGGUACAUGACUAAGAAGCCCCGGCUAACUACGUGCCAGCAGCCGCGGUAAUACGUAGGGGGCAAGCGUUAUCCGGAUUUACUGGGUGGAAAGGGAACGUAGGCGGGUUAGCAAGUCAGAAGUGAAAGCCCG
rnacentral:rRNA from 1 species